GAUGAACGCUGGCGGCGUGCCUAAUACAUGCAAGUCGAGCGAACAGACGAGGAGCUUGCUCCUCUGACGUUAGCGGCGGACGGGUGAGUAACACGUGGAUAACCUACCUAUAAGACUGGGAUAACUUCGGGAAACCGGAGCUAAUACCGGAUAAUAUAUUGAACCGCAUGGUUCAAUAGUGAAAGACGGUUUUGCUGUCACUUAUAGAUGGAUCCGCGCCGCAUUAGCUAGUUGGUAAGGUAACGGCUUACCAAGGCAACGAUGCGUAGCCGACCUGAGAGGGUGGUCGGCCACACUGGAACUGAGACACGGUCCAGACUCCUACGGGAGGCAGCAGUAGGGAAUCUUCCGCAAUGGGCGAAAGCCUGACGGAGCAACGCCGCGUGAGUGAUGAAGGUCUUCGGAUCGUAAAACUCUGUUAUUAGGGAAGAACAAAUGUGUAAGUAACUAUGCACGUCUUGACGGUACCUAAUCAGAAAGCCACGGCUAACUACGUG
rnacentral:rRNA from 1 species